ACAGGUAAAUGCAUUGACAGUCAGAUCCUCACCUAAACCCUAGGCAGCCAGGGGAAUGCUGCUUCUCCUACUCUUUCAGUCUAUGGAAGAUUUACUUUCUUUUAAGAUUGCUGGGAGAUGCUCCAGGUGGCAUGACAGCUGAAGCGCGGGAGGGCAGAAGAGAGACACUGUUCGAAAAGGGCGAGGCUUUCCCAGGCUACUCUUGCAGCCAGGCAGAUGGCUCUGCACUCUCCCUGCCACUGUCCAGGCCAGAGAACAUGGGAUUCCUCACUGGGGGAACGCAGAGCUUCACAGAAAAGGUCUUCAGAGACUGAUACUGGGGAUUCUCCAUCAAAGGAGCCUUUUCCUUGACUGAUCACUCUCCAAAGAAGCCCACCGGUUGGCAAGCCUCCUUCGUGCAUUCGGGAGAGGUAUAAAAGACACAGGCACAUUCAUUUGCUUAUUUUUUUCAAUGUAAGUCUUCUUUCUGAAGAGAGGCAUAUUUUACAUUUCAUUCUCUGUCCACAGUCUAAAGAGAAACACCAAAUUUCUGUAUUACAACACUGGACAGAAAUUCACAUAAUAGCAAUUAGUCCUGAUUUAACUCUUCCUCCUAUCACUGUGAACAAAGUAACCAAGGUGGGCCGGGUGAGGUGGCUCACGCCUGUAAUCACAGCACUUUGGGAGGCUCAGGCAGGUGGAUUAUCUGAAGUCAGGAGGUGAUACCCCAUCUCUACUAAAAAAAAAAAAAAAAUACGGCUCUCUGCUCCUCCUGUUUGACAGACUGCCACGUCUGUCUCUCACCGCCAGCCGCAUCCCUGAGACACCAUGGGGAAGGUGAAGUUCGGAGUCAACGUUUCUGGUCGUAUUGGGCACCUGGUUACCAGGGCUGCUUUUAACUCUGGUAAAGUGGAUACUGUCGCCAUCAAUGACCCCUUCAUUGACCUCAAAUACAUGGUCUACAUGUUCCAGUAUGAUUCCACCCAUGGCAAAUUCCAUGGCACCGUCAAGCCUGAGAACAGGAAACUUGUCAUCAAUGGAAAUCCCAUCACCAUCUUCCAGGAGCGAGAUCCCUCCAAAAUCAAGUGGGGCAACACUGGUGCUGAGCACGUGGUGGAGUCCACUGGCAUCUUCACCACCAUGGAGAAGGCUGGGGCUCACUAGCAGGGGGGAACCAAAAGGGUCAUCACCUCUGCCCCAUCUGCUGAUGCCCCCAUGUUCAUGAUGGGCAUGAACCAUGAGAAGUAUGACCACAGCCUCAAGAUCAUCAGCAAUGCCUCUUGCACCACCAAUUGCUUAGUGCCCCUAGCCAAGGUUAUCAGUGACAACUUUCGUUAUCGUGGAAGGACUCAUGACCACCAUCUACGCCAUUACUGCCACCCAGAAGACUGUGGAUGGCCCCUCCAGGAAACUGUGGCAUGACGGCUGCGGGGCUCUCCAGAUCAUCCCUGCCUCUACUGGCACUACCAAGACCAUGGGCAAGGUCAUCCCUGAGCUGAACGGGAAGCUCACUGGCAUGGCCUUCUGUGUCCCCACUGUCAGUGUGUCAGUGGUGGACCUGACCUGCCGUCUGGAAAAAACUGCCAGAUAUGACGACAUCAAGAAGAUGGUGAAGCAAGCGUCAAAAGGCCCCCUCAAGGGCAUCCUGGGCUACACCUAGCACCAGGUGGUGUCCUCCGACUUCAACAGUGACACCCACUCUUCCACAUUCGAUGCUGGGGCUGGCAUUGCCCUCAACGACUACUUUGUCAAGCUCAUUUCCUGGUAUGACAAUGAAUCUGGCUACAGCAACAGGGUGGUGGACCUCAUGUCCUACAUGGCUUCUAAGGAGUAAGACCCCUGGACCACCAGCCCCAGUGAGAGCAGGAGAGGAAGACAGACCCUCACUGCUGGGAGUCCCUGCCACACUGAGUCCUCCACCACACUGAAUUGCCCCUCCUCACAGUUUCCAUGCAAACCCCUUGAAGAGGGAGGGGCCUGGGGAGCUCCACCUUGUCAUGUACCAUCAAUAAAGUCCCCUGUGCUCAGCCAAAAAAAAAAAAAAAAAAAAACCCAAACAAACAAAAAUUAGCCGGGCAUGCUAAUGCAUGCCUGU